GGGGAGCAACGGAUCCUGGGCUGUGUCCUCCGGUGCCUUGGGCUCAGGGCCUGCGCCGCUGGAAUCGUGCUACUGAGGUCACGCAGCCCCCU
rnacentral:pre_miRNA from 1 species